UAUUCUGAAAUAUACUGGACUCGACCACACCAGACGUUUGAAGAUUUGGAAAGAAAAUACCGGAAGAACCUCAGCCUCCUAUUUGAUGAAAACAGUAAAUAAUGUAAUCCUGGACACGUAGGAACAAUUCAGGACUUUCUGGAGCAGGAAUAUGAGGUUUUCAUCGAAGAGAGUGUCAACACACCCUACCUGUACUUUGGCAAUGUGGAUGACCACCUUUCCAUAGCUCAUGGAGGACAUGGACCUUUACAUCAACUACCAUCACUUCAGAGAGCCCCUAUAUUGGUACGCAGUGCCCCAAAACCAUAGUUGGCACCUGGAAUGCUCAGUCAGGGAGCUUUUCCAGGUAGUUCUCAGGGUUAUGAGGCCUUCCUGUGGCACUAGAUGGCCCUCAUCGUGCCCACCGUGCUCAUGCAGAAUGGGAUUCCCUUCAAUAGCAUGAGUCAGGAGGCUGGAGAGUUCACAGUGACAUUUCCCUAUGACUACAACACAGGCUUCAACUGCAAAGAGGCCAUCAAUUUAACCACCCAGGAUGGGUAGAUUAUGGCAAUAUGGCCCCUCAGUGUAGCUGUGGGGAGGACAGGGUGGCCUUUUCCAUGGACGCCUUCAUGCACAUCAUGAAACCUGAUCAUUAUGACCUAUGGAAAAGCUAGCAAGAUGGGGCCAUUGUGGAUCAAAGGGAGCCCAGGGUGCUGGCCAGCCAGGAGCUCAUUACCUGGCAGGAGGACAUUGUACCCGGACUGAAGCUCCCCUGGACCUGACUUCUUCUAGGCCUGUGGUCCUGGAUGGUGGGACCUACCACUGAGCCCAUAUGUACAGUUGCAGUUUCCCUGGUUCCCCGUGGCAGCCCAGGAAACUGAUGCCCAUCCAAAGGUCAUUGACCCCAGAGGCUCCCAAGAACACACCGUGGCCCACCAUCUAUCUUGGGUCUGUUUGCCCUGGUUCUCUGCCUGUCAACUGGAAGAGGUGGUCAUGGUGGUCUUCUUCAGGAACUAGGAGCUCAGGAGGGGAUCCUCUAGUCUCCCACCAAGUGGCACAGCACACAGAGCUCUUGAUCCUGGGGCUUUGCCCCUACUUGGGAUGGAACUUUGAUAGACAAGCCUGUAUCUCUCAUGCCUGCAUCUCAGUAUCCCAUCAAGGCUUCCAGGAGCUGCAGUGCCC
rnacentral:lncRNA from 1 species